rnacentral:tRNA from 1 species
GGUCUGUUCGUUCAAUGGUCAGGACGCAGGGUUUUCAUUCCUGAAAUGAGGGUUCGAUUCCCUUGCAGACUA